rnacentral:rRNA from 1 species
CCCCCGGUGAAUUUAAGCAUAUCAAUAAUGGCAGGAAAAGAAAUUAACAAGGAUUCCCCUAGCAACUGCGAGUGAAGCGGGACAAGCUCAAAUUCGAAAUCUGGCGGUUCUUGACCGUCCGAGUUGUAAUCUAGAGAAGUGUUAUCUGUGCUGGACUGUGUAAAAGUCUUCUGGAAUGGAGCAUCAUAGAGGGUGAGAAUCCCGUCUUUGACACGGACUACCUGUACAUUAUGGUGCGCUCUCGAAGAGUCGAGUUGUUUCCCAAUGCAGCUCAAAAUGGGUGGUAAAUGCUAUCUAAAGAUUAAUAUUGUCAAUACACCGAUAUCGAACAAGUACCGUGAGGCACUGAUGAAAAGAACUUUGGAAAGAGAGUUAAACACUACAUUAAAUUGCUGAAAGGGAAACGCUUGAAUUCAGUUGAGUCGGCUGGAAAUCAACCUUGCUCUUCCUUGGUGUACUUUCUCGUCCCCGGGUCAGCAUCACUUUUGAACGCUGGAUAACGUCUUUCGGAAUGUGACAUCUUAUCAAGUGUUAUACCCCAUUGUCGCAUACGGCCCUCGGUUUUGAAGUAUCCAGCUCGCCGCCAGGCCUGGUGUCCACAACGUUCCUCCUUAGGAUGCUUUCACACCGCUCUUAAUCGACCCGUCUUGAAACACGG